rnacentral:rRNA from 1 species
GGAGGAACCAUGGGAUCGCAAGACCUUGCGCUCAUUGAGCGGCCGAUGCCUGAUUAGCUAGUUGGUGAGGUAAAGGCUUACCAAGGCGACGAUCAGUAGCUGGUCUGAGAGGACGACCAGCCACACUGGGACUGAGACACGGCCCAGACUCCUACGGGAGGCAGCAGUGGGGAAUUUUGGACAAUGGGGGAAACCCUGAUCCAGCCAUGCCGCGUGAGUGAAGAAGGCCUUCGGGUUGUAAAGCUCUUUCAGCCGGAACGAAACGGUCACGGCUAAUACCUGUGACUACUGACGGUACCGGAAGAAGAAGCACCGGCUAACUACGUGCCAGCAGCCGCGGUAAUACGUAGGGUGCGAGCGUUAAUCGGAAUUACUGGGCGUAAAGCGUGCGCAGGCGGUUUUGUAAGUCAGAUGUGAAAUCCCCGGGCUUAACCUGGGAACUGCGUUUGAAACUACAAAGCUAGAAGGG